GGGUGAAACUUAAUAGAGUAUGAAACAACCCGUAGGCAAUAACCAGUUGCAAAGCAAAAGAGGAUUGAAAAUCCUUGUGUCGGCGGUUCGAUUCCGCCCCAGCCACCA
rnacentral:tRNA from 1 species